CUGGAGGUAUCAGAAGUGCGAAUGCUGACAUGAGUAACGAUAAGGGGAGUGAAAAACUCCCCCGCCGAAAGACCAAGGUUUCCUGUCCCAUGUUAAUCAGGGCAGGGUAAGUCGGCCCCUAAGGCGAGGCGGAAACGCGUAGUCGAUGGGAAACAGAUUAAUAUUUCUGUACUUCUAUAUAUUGCGAAGGAGGGACGGAGUAGGCUAAAUGAGCACGGCGUUGGUAGUCCGUGUGAAAGAAUGUAGGCGGGAGACUUAGGUAAAUCCGGGUUUCUAUUCAACGCUGAGACUCGAGACGAGUAUCCACGGAUAUGAAGUCAUUGAUGCCAUGCUUCCAGGAAAAGCUUCUAAGCUUCAGAUAUAUAGGAACCGUACCCCAAACCGACACAGGUGGUUAGGUAGAGAAUACUAAGGCGCUUGAGAGAACUCGGGUGAAGGAACUAGGCAAAAUAGUACCGUAACUUCGGGAGAAGGUACGCUACUCAUGGUGAUGGAACUUGCUUCCUAAGCUGAGAGUAGUCGAAGUAACCAGGUGGCUGGAACUGUUUAUUAAAAACACAGCACUGUGCAAAAUCGAAAGAUGACGUAUACGGUGUGACGCCUGCCCGGUGCCGGAAGGUUAAUUGAUUGGGUUAUCUUCGGAGAAGCUCAUGAUCGAAGCCCCGGUAAACGGCGGCCGUAACUAUAACGGUCCUAAGGUAGCGAAAUUCCUUGUCGGGUAAGUUCCGACCUGCACGAAUGGCGUAAUCAUGGCCACACUGUCUCCACCCGAGACUCAGUGAAAUUGAAUUUGCGGUUAAGAUGCCGUAUACCCGCGGCUAGACGGAAAGACCCCGUGAACCUUUACUAUAGCUUGACAGUGAACAUUGCUCCUACAUGUGUAGGAUAGGUGGGAGGCGUUGAAACCGAGUCGCUAGAUUUGGUGGAGCCAACCUUGAAAUACCACCCUUGUAUGCGUGAUGUUCUAACCUAGGCCCCUUAUCGGGGUUGGGGACACUGUCUGGUGGGUAGUUUGACUGGGGCGGUCUCCUCCCAAAGAGUAACGGAGGAGCGCGAAGGUACACUCAGCAUGGUCGGAAAUCAUGCUAUGAGCGCAAAGGUAGAAGUGUGCUUGACUGCGAGACUGACACGUCGAGCAGGUACGAAAGUAGGUCUUAGUGAUCCGGUGGUUCUGUAUGGAAGGGCCAUCGCUCAACGGAUAAAAGGUACU
rnacentral:rRNA from 1 species